rnacentral:rRNA from 1 species
UGGGGAAUUUUGGACAAUGGGCGAAAGCCUGAUCCAGCAAUGCCGCGUGUGUGAAGAAGGCCUUCGGGUUGUAAAGCACUUUUGUCCGGAAAGAAAUCCUCUGGGUUAAUACCUCGGGGGGAUGACGGUACCGGAAGAAUAAGCACCGGCUAACUACGUGCCAGCAGCCGCGGUAAUACGUAGGGUGCAAGCGUUAAUCGGAAUUACUGGGCGUAAAGCGUGCGCAGGCGGUUUGCUAAGACCGAUGUGAAAUCCCCGGGCUCAACCUGGGAACUGCAUUGGUGACUGGCAGGCUAGAGUAUGGCAGAGGGGGGUAGAAUUCCACGUGUAGCAGUGAAAGUGCGUAGAGAUGUGGAGGAAUACCGAUGGCGAAGGCAGCCCCCUGGGCCAAAUACUGACGCUCAUGCACGAAAGCGUGGGGAGCAAACAGGAUUAGAUACCCUGGUAGUCCACGCCCUAAACGAUGUCAACUAGUUGUUGGGGAUUCAUUUCCUUAGUAACGUAGCUAACGCGUGAAGUUGACCGCCUGGGGAGUACGGUCGCAAGAUUAAACUUAAAUGAAUUGACGGGGUCAUA